UUAUCAAUCCAUAAUUUAUAAAACAGGUUACGAUUUGGUAGAUUUUACACCUACCCAUUUUUUGGAAAUGAAAGAUAUAAACAAUAGAAAUAUUAAAUCAAUAGAAAUAUUAAAUCUUUACUUUAUCUUUAUCCAAAAAAAUUUUUGGUGNAAAAAAUUAUUUAUAAUCCNUAUUUUUCAAAAUAAAAAAAAAANCUGAAAAAANUGGAGAAUUUCUACUACUUAGUUUAGAAAAAAAAANUCGUCUUUUUUCUAUAUUAAUUUUUAAAAAUUAACGAGAAUCAAGUGUAUUAAUCCUCUAGGUAUACUUACGCAAUAUACCUUUAUUUAUAUUAUAUUUUNAUAAACCUCCAGGUAUACUUACCCNAAUAGAGAUAUUUUAGAGACUACUAUACUCUAGUAGUAUAUUUUUUUCCUUACCCAAUAUAUUAGUCUAAAAAACUAAUAUAUUGGGUAUAUUGGGUAUUUAUCAAAUUAAUAUUCAAAUUUUUAAUAUAAUGAACAAUUCAAAAGAUCUAG
rnacentral:misc_RNA from 1 species